rnacentral:rRNA from 1 species
UGCGGACAGUGUCUGGUGGGUAGUUUGACUGGGGCGGUCUCCUCCUAAAGAGUAACGGAGGAGCACGAAGGUUGGCUAAUCCUGGUCGGACAUCAGGAGGUUAGUGCAAUGGCAUAAGCCAGCUUGACUGCGAGCGUGACGGCGCGAGCAGGUGCGAAAGCAGGUCAUAGUGAUCCGGUGGUUCUGAAUGGAAGGGCCAUCGCUCAACGGAUAAAAGGUACUCCGGGGAUAACAGGCUGAUACCGCCCAAGAGUUCAUAUCGACGGCGGUGUUUGGCACCUCGAUGUCGGCUCAUCACAUCCUGGGGCUGAAGUAGGUCCCAAGGGUAUGGCUGUUCGCCAUUUAAAGUGGUACGCGAGCUGGGUUUAGAACGUCGUGAGACAGUUCGGUCCCUAUCUGCCGUGGGCGCUGGAGAACUGAGGGGGGCUGCUCCUAGUACGAGAGGACCGGAGUGGACGCAUCACUGGUGUUCGGGUUGUCAUGCCAAUGGCACUGCCCGGUAGCUAAAUGCGGAAAAGAUAAGUGCUGAAAGCAUCUAAGCACGAAACUUGCCCCGAGAUGAGUUCUCCCUGAGACCUAGAGUCUCCUGAAGGAA